NNNNNNNNNNNNNNNNNNNNNNNNNNNNNNNNNNNNNNNNNNNNNNNCAUGCGCGGUGGUCAGUGGGGCUGAAGGGAUACAAAUGGCUGGUGGGGUCCAUGCAUGGUCAUCAAGAGGGCCAGAGGGAUCACGGGCAGCUGUCGGGUCCAUGCACGGUGGUCAGUAGGGCUGGAGGAAUAUGAGUGGUCAGUGGCAUCCGUGCACAGCAGUCAGCGGGGCCAGAAGGACCGCAGGUGGCUGGUGGAGUCUGUGCACAGUGGUCAGUAGGGCCAGAGGGAGAGUGGGCAGCUGUCGGGGUCCAUGUAUGGAGAUUGGUGGGGCUGGAGGGACUGCGGGUGGCCAGCAGGGUCCAUGCAUGGAGAUUGAUGGGACUGAAGGGACCACAGGUGGCCAGCAGGGUCUGUGCAUGGAGGUUGAUGGGUCUGGAGGGACCAUGGGUGGCCGGCAGGGUCCAUGCAUGGAGAUUGGUGGGGCUGGAGGGACUGCGGGUGGCCAGUGGGUUCCAUGCAUGGAGGCUGAUGGGACUGAAGGGACCACGGGUGGCCAGCAGGGUCUGUGCAUGGAGGUUGAUGGGGCUGGAGGGACCAUGGGUGGCCGGCAGGGUCCAUGCGUGGAGGUUGGUGGGGCUGGAGGGACCGUGGGCAGCCAUCAGGGUCCAUGCAUGGAGGUUGGUGGGGCUGGAGGGACCACGGGUGACCGGCAUGGAGGUUGGUGGAGCCCCCAGCAUCCCCCCAAAGCAACGCCUGGAGAUGCAGAGCAGGACCUCCCCAGCCGCAGGGGCAGCUGCGCCUUGCACACGCACAACCCGAGGUGCCGCGGGUGGGUGCACCAAGCCCGGGUGACGGCCGUCCCCACCGCGGCCUCGCGCCGGGUGGCCCCGGGUGCCCUCUUGCGUCCUCUAGCCGGACUCAUCCUGCUUCUCUAGCUCCCGGCUCCUCUCUUCCGCCGCCUCCUCGCUGGAUGAAGCCGUGAUCCGUGCCCRGACCCUCGGAGGGCGCCAAGGGCUUCAGGGUCC
rnacentral:lncRNA from 1 species